rnacentral:lncRNA from 1 species
UUAAAAUAAAGUAAUAUGAAAGACUAACUGUAAGCAUCAAGCUUAAGUGGCUUAUAUGCUCUGGGAAGGAUACAAUUUUGAAGAUGAUGCAACCAAAGCACCAGUAGGUAUAAUACACACACCAAACAGGUCUGCCUAGGAGCCUUCAUUAAAACACAAACCAAAACUAACAACUGCAAUACCAAUUGCAGAAACCAAAAAGUACGUGACAGAAUUGCAACGAGUGAUCUUAUCUUUUCUUAGGAGGUAAUUGAAACUCUCCUAGCUUGAAAUCUUGAACAUUUUGUUUCUCUUUCUGAUCUGCUUCGAUUCUUGAUAAACUUUUUCUUUUUCUUAAAAUAAACAAAUAAUUUGAAUAUUGGAUAAUAUCGUUGACAAAAGUUUUGGAUAUACAUAUACUUCGACAGUCCAAAUUCCGCACCUUUACCCGUUUUGGAACUAAAAGCAUAGUGAGCCAUAUAAAAAAUUGUAGGUUACUUAGACAUAGUAAGUAAAACAAUAUAAGGGCGGUCAAAAAAAAAAAGAGUAAAACAAUAAGGUAAAGAUAUUUAAACAAAAAAUAAAAAGGUAAACAUUUGUAAUUUUGUAUACUACGAUAUGCAUCUCCAC